rnacentral:tRNA from 2 species
GCGGUCGUGGCGGAAUGGUAGACGCGCAGCGUUGAGGUCGCUGUGGGGUAACACCCGUGGAGGUUCAAGUCCUCUCGACCGCACCA